rnacentral:rRNA from 1 species
AGUGCCCUACGGGAGGCAGCAGUGAGGAAUAUUGGUCAAUGGCCGGGAGGCUGAACCAGCCAAGUCGCGUGAGGGAAGACGGUCCUAUGGAUUGUAAACCUCUUUUGUCAGGGAGCAAAAACUGCCACGCGUGGCAGGAUGAGAGUACCUGAAGAAAAAGCAUCGGCUAACUCCGUGCCAGCAGCCGCGGUAAUACGGAGGAUGCGAGCGUUAUCCGGAUUUAUUGGGUUUAAAGGGUGCGUAGGCGGACAGUUAAGUCAGCGGUAAAAUUGAGAGGCUCAACCUCUUCCCGCCGUUGAAACUGA